rnacentral:tRNA from 1 species
AUUUAUUUAGUAUAAUUAAAGUAUUUUUGGCUUCCAACCAAAAGGUCUAAAUUUAGAAUAAAUA